rnacentral:lncRNA from 1 species
CCCACGACUCCAACCUCAAGGGGGACUCUGCCCGGACUCCCACGGGAGCCGAGCUCCGUCGCCAACUUCGACUGCCGGUAAGAUCCGUCCGGACUCCUACGGGAGCCGGACUUCACACCUGACUUCGAUUGCAGGGGACUCCGCCCAGACUCCUACGGGAGCCGGAAUCCGCCCACGACUCCAACCUCAAGGGGGACUCCGCCCGGACUCCCACGGGAGCCGGGCUCCGUCGCCAACUUCGACUGUCGGUAAGAUCCGUCCGGACUCCUACGGGAGCCGGACUUCGCACCUGACUGUAAUUGCAGGGGACUCCGCCCGGACUCCUACGGGAGCCGGGCUCCGCCCGCGACUUCAACUCCGAGAGGAUUCCGCCCGGACUCCCACGGGAGCCGG